UACGUAGGGCGCAAGCGUUAUCCGGAAUUAUUGGGCGUAAAGAGCUCGUAGGCGGUUUGUCGCGUCUGCCGUGAAAAGUCCGGGGCUCAACUCCGGAUCUGCGGUGGGGUACGGGCAGACUAGAGUGAUGUAGGGGAGACUGGAAUUCCUGGUGUAGCGGUGAAAUGCGCAGAUAUCAGGAGGAACACCGAUGGCGAAGGCAGGAU
rnacentral:rRNA from 1 species